rnacentral:rRNA from 1 species
GCGUAACAUUAGUUUGUUGGUGAGAUAAAAGCUCACCAAGGCUACGAUGUUUAGCCGGCCUGAGAGGGUGAUCGGCCACACUGGAACUGAGACACGGUCCAGACUCCUACGGGAGGCAGCAGUGGGGAAUAUUGCGCAAUGGGCGAAAGCCUGACGCAGCAACGCCGUGUGAGCGAUGAAGGCCUUUGGGUCGUAAAGCUCUGUCAAAUGGGAAGAACAUUGACGGUACCAUUAGAGGAAGCCCCGGCUAACUCCGUGCCAGCAGCCGCGGUAAUACGGAGGGGGCAAGCGUUGUUCGGAAUUAUUGGGCGUAAAGAGUAUGUAGGCGGCUAAAUAAGUCAGACGUGCAAGCCCGUGGCUCAACCACGGAAUUGCGUUUGAAACUGUAUAGCUUGAGUACAGGAGAGGAAAGCGGAAUUCCCAGUGUAGCGGUGAAAUGCAUUGAUAUUGGG